rnacentral:lncRNA from 1 species
AAAUGCCCAGCUCGCCCUUUCCAUCCACAUUCCUCUGCUCAUUCAACAGAACCAUCUGGUGUGUGCCUACCAUGUGCUGAGGACUUAGAAGCAACACCUCAGUCAUUUUCCUUGGGGAUCUCUCAGUCUGUCAGCUGUGGUGAUAGGGACAGGCAACCCAUAAGACAGGUGGGGAAGGGAGCACCGAAAGUCAAUGAAGAGAUGUGAUCUGGAGUGAUUUACUACCAGGCCAAGUGACAGUCACCCUAUUUUGCUAUUUUUUAAUUACCAUUUCGAAUUAAUAAUGUGUCUCUUCCCACGCAUCCCCCUCAGAGUGGGGCGUAAACACCUUUGUAUGUGACUGUGCAGAGCUUUGAAGCUCCCAGAACAGCAGCCCUCCUGCCUUGCCUUCUCCCCAGGACCAGUCUGUAUUGGACACCAGUGACAUGAGGCCAUUCACCAACCUUGAGGAGAGUUCCAGCCCUCAGCAGACACCCAGGAGACUCUGUUCUCAAUACUCUGUACUAACAACUUGACACAAUGCCAAUACAACCUCAUGAUUAAGAGAAACCAGGCAUGACUCAAUAAACUUUGAUUGUUUGGGACAUCUGCCUCAGUCACUCAUUUUGGUUGUCAGCAUGGACUCUAGAUCAGACCAAGUUGACCUCCCUUCUUCACCAUUAACUGCUUUGAGAUAAGAAGCUACAGCAUCUGUCAAGAGCCGUAUGUAGCUUGAGAUGACUACCUGAAGAUGUAUCAUGGUAUCAGCUGGUUAGUUAAGAAGUCGUUUUCCAGCUUCAACUGGCAAGUAACAAGCCAAGCAAGAAUUUCAAUGGAAAAUUACAGAGAUACUAACAGGUUUGAGUACUUAUGAAUACAAAAUAAAUAAACGGAUUUAAAUUACUUUAUUAUUACAAUGCAGAAAUGAGGAAGUGUAAUAGCCAGCUAGUCUUGGAACAUGGCACUGUGAAUGAAAUGAUUAAUUGCAUAUUCAUCUGGUCUCAGAUACAGGACAUUCUCUUGCAUAGGUUAAAUGUAUUAAUGGUAGAGAAUUAUGCAAAAAAUACUCAUUUUCUCCAAUACCAGAACAUACAGGAAGCAAGUAAAGUGAGUGCCUUUUUACCAAUAGUACCAGUAGAUAAGAAGAUAAGAUACAGAUAAUAAAGCACAGAGCAUUGCACAGAUCUACACCAAUGGAUUGGAAUGGAAUGUAGGAUUCUCUUCUUGCUGUGGACACCAUCAAAAUGUGAGAUCACUUCUCUGCUCAAUAGGACAAUCAUACUGAUUCCUUAGGAAGACAUAUAGGAAUCAGUAGAGGGAGAUCCUACCCUGGAAUCGUUUGAUGUCCUUGGGUUAUCUUCCUCUACAAAAAGGGCUAGUUGAAAUAAUGACAUGUGGGAGAUCAGCACUCCAAGUCAAAAUUGCAAAACAGAAGAAAAUUCCAGAAUUAUAUCACUGUUAAGAUAGCAACAAAUAAAUAAUUUGCACCCUACAACCCAUGUGUGAAUUUAAUUCUGGAAAACCCAAUCUGAGACAGGGACAUCCAUCACCAUGUGAAAAAGCCUGGGAUAGUCUGCUGGAAGAAAAUGUAACUUGCAGAGAAUAGAACAGAUAAACCUUGCAGUGUACCCAGUUGGAUUUCAGAACAUUGAAGAGCAGCAGCUUUUAUGGGAAUAAGAGUGUCCCUUACAGGUAAUCUCCUCGACAUUUAUAUUGGGUGAGUCACAGUCAGAAAAUAUCUUAGUUUGUAACUUUGAGGAUGAAGAGUAGGUGUAUUCAAGGAGCUACCUUCUUGAACACAAUUGAAGGUCAUGAAAUUCUGAACUUCAAGGUUGAUACCAUGAUUUCAUGAGACUUUUGAAAGUCCUAGGAUGGCAAUGAGAAUAUCUUUUAUGUGGAAAAAUUGUGGGUAAUUUGUGGCCAGAGGUUGGACUGUGGUAGAUUCGAAAAGUGGUUGCAAAAGUUUUCCAUUCUUGUUUCAUGUCCUUCAGUCAUGACUUCUCCUAGUGACUUUAAGAUUAUCGAUGUGAUUUGCUUUGCCUAUGAGGCAAUAAGCAAAUGUGACACAAGCAGAGGCUUAAAAAUGCGUAUGCUUUAGGAGAGGUUAGCUGUUGCUCUUGGGAAACACAGAACCAUAUAAAGCUGCUAACCUUCUGGCAGAUGAGAAUCAUCACGGAGCAGAGAUGAGGCUAAACAGCUGAGGCUUCUCUAAAAAACAAAACAAACAAACAAACAAACAAAAGCAGUGCACUUCUCAGGUGAUUGGCAUCGGAUAGCAGAAGCAUCGGUGAGUCAGCUGAGGUACAUAGAAGAAAUGCCUACCUGAGCCAACCCAAAUUGCCAACCCACAAAAAUCUGAAACCAAAUAAAUUGUUUAAAACUACUAGGUUUGAGAGUAUUUUGUUACAAAGCAGGUUAACCAAGGCAAUUAAAUGUAAAAGGUAUACUAAAUGAAUAAUUUUAUAAACAUUAAGCCAUAAUGACAUCAAAUUGAUUUUGAAGUUCAUUAAUGCAUACAGUCCUCAAACUGCUUUAUUCAUUGUAUACUGUAAUGUUUCACAUUUAA